GAAGGGGGGACGAGAGAGAGGGAGAGAGAGAGUGAAAGGGCCCGAGAGACAGUAUUGGUGGUGGUGGAGUUAAAAGACUACAAUUGACCAGUUCUUAAAGUAAUUGACUGUGGGGAACCCGAACCGUUGCUGAAUGGAGGGGUGACGUUCAUAUCUAGCUCUCAGAACCAGCAUCUCUCAGUCAUUUAGUGACACUGCAAUGAGCUGUACUACACUCUCUCUAAAAGAGAUAAUGACCGGAGUCCUGGGACCAUGCCUCAGGACUACCUGGCUUGAUGACUCCUUGCUAUCCUCAGUCCACCUGGUUGUGCUGCUCCAGUUUCAACUGUUCUGCCUGUAGCUAUGGAACUCUGACCUGUUUACUGGAUAUGCUACCUUGUCCCGGACCUGCUGUUUUCGACUCUCUCACUCUACCGCACCUGCUGUCUCUAACUCUGAAUGCUCUGCUAUGAAAAGCCAACUGACAUUUACUCCUGAGAUGCUGACCUGUUGCACCCUCUACAACACAACGUAUUAAUAAACCAAUUAGGCACAUUUGGGCAGUCUUGAUACAACAUUUUGAACAGAAAUAAACUUUACACAUACAGUCUUAAACUUUGUACAUACUCUGCUGCCAUCUAAUGGCCAAAAUCUAAAUUGUGCCUGGGCUGGAAUAAUAAAUUCUGGUAUUUCUCUUGCAUUUCAAAGAUGAUGGUACAAAUAAAUAUACCAAAAAAUG